AUGUUUUACACACAUUAAUCUCUUUAUAUAUUAUUCUCAAUUUCUCUGCUUUCUCAGGUCAAUAUGCAUGCACAACAACAGUAAACUCAAUGCCCUAUGUUAUCUGGCAAACCAUUACAAUUCAGCCAUACCCCAAUAUCCAAGUGAAUAGUGGCAAAGUUGUAAAAUGCGAGGACACAGUAAUCGCACUGCAGUGUUGUGUUCAGGGGAGUUAUGAAGUGAAAUGGACUGACCCUGUAGCUUGCAACUCAACUUCAACAGUCCCACUGAAAGGCUGCACAUUAUGUGAAUAUAAAAUUAACAAGCAGGACUGCCAGUCUACUGACCAAGUUAUACUGGUCACAUGUCAACUCACAUCACCUAUCAGUGGAAGUACAACUCAAAGUUACAAUUCAAAGAGCAUCAAAAUAGAUGUCAUAAAAGGGGCAUUUACCUGCUCUGAUAGUGUAUUUGGAGCUGGAAAUCUGGGAGACGAACACAUUGGUGACUGUAAUGGAAACAUGG
ensembl:lncRNA